UCCCCCCACCAGGAGAUCGGGGUCGACUUCGUCGCCGGCGACGGCGCCCUCGCGUUCGGCUCCGGCAUCAGGGACCUGAACAUGUUAGGGUCGUUCGAGCUGGUCCUCCUCCCGCUCCUCGCGCUGCUCUUCCCCUCCCCCGCCCCCGCCAGUGUCGCCUCGCUGUGCCCGCUCGCGGCGACCUCCAACGCCUCCUCCCACACCUACGCCCGCCCCGUAUCCCACCUUCUUCGACGAUGUCGUCGACAAGUAUGGCUGGGACACCGACGCCCAGGUCCAGGUCUAGCCACUCGACGCCGAGGGCGCGCUCGUCGGCGCCGUGCAACGCUACGAGUUCCACGCCCACGCGAGGGGCACCGCGGUCGCGCUGGCGUGGGCCAACCGACGGGGCCGUCGAUUGGGGUCGCUCCGACGCCCCCACGGUGGAGGAGGUGGUCGGGCCCGACGGGGUCGACUUCGUCGCCGGCGAUGACGCCCUGGCGUUCGGCUCCGGGGUCACGGACCUAAACAUGGUAGGGCCGUUGGAGCUGGUGGUCUCCAAUGGCGUUGGCGAGGGCCUCGCAGAGCUCGAGUUGCUGUCGGAUUUUCAAAUCGUAGGAAUAGGAAAAGUAUAGGGUUGGAGUGGCAUGCACACAUGAAGCCUACAGGAUUAGCAUGGAGUGUUUGAUGGCAUAGGAAAAGCAAAGGAAUUGUAAAAAGAGGUUGGAGUGGAUGUUAGAUUUCUUAUGAAAUGUAGUACAAAAGAUUCCAUAGGAAAAAUUCCUAUGGAAUCCAAUCCUAUGAAUCAAAGGACCAACAUAGGAAAAAUUCUUAAGGAUUUCAAUCCUCCAAAAAUCCUAUAAAAUUCCUUUGAAUCAAAGGAGCCCUUAGUACAUAUAUAUCUGGUUUAAUUUUUGUUUUGUGUACAUUGUAUCGACUGGAACUAUUUUCUCCUAGAUUUGCAGGUAAAUUUGUAAGGAUAUGCAACAAAAUUGAACAUCAACACCUUCAGUGUGUGAGGUGCGCGUGGAUGACCGAUAUGUGUGAAGUGCGUGAGGAUAGCUAUAUUCACAUUCUUCCAAUUUCGAGAGAGGAAGAUAACUCAGUAGUACUGCCAAUUUUGGCACGCAAUGUUCGUUUUUCAGAUUCACCAUGAUUGGUAAUGUUGUUUAGUACUGAAAACUUUGUCAUGGUUCAAUAAAUAGGCAGUUAAUUUUGUUGUUAGAAAGGCAAAGCAGUGCUACAAUAGCAUGGUUGAUUUUGGUUGCUAGAAGGAAAAGCAGUGCGACAAAUUUUAGAACUAGGAUGUUGUUUUUCACAGUUCAGUCAAGUAUUGCUUAUUUGCAUUGUACAAUCACAAUUCUAAGCUUAGGCUUCUUUUAGUUGUGUAGCAUUGUAGAACUGGAUCCGUUUUUCCUAGCAGAUCAACACAUUUGGUCGGAUUUAGCUUAUUUGAUAAUGAGCAAACAAUAAAUGGUGUGAAUAUAUGCGGAGUCGAUGGAAAACAUUGAAGCCAGUAGUUGUAUACCUAUUUCGAAAAUCAGAAUUGGUUAGUAACAUUCUACAUCAUGGUAUUACGGUUUACAGUACUAAGCUUGAUGCUUUGUAUGGUUCUUUAAUACUAAGAUUAAUAGUGACGUUGCUGCUUGAGUUACUUUGGAUUUAACCUUGUUAUGCCAAUGACAUAUAUAGGUUUCUCGGUUUGCUGCGCUGCUCUUCACAGUCGUGCAGCUGGCCAUCGCCGCUAGGGAUUUGUCGUCCAAGGCAGUCAAUCCUUUCCUGUAAACUUGCAGAUGGAAAUCAUCAUUUUCUCUCAUGUUACUUUAGGAAACUUUGCUCUGUCAUGUAGCACUCAGUUUUUUAAAAACAUACUAUAUAUGUAGCCCUCAUCAACGUUGUGCUGGGCCAUGAGUGGGCUUCCUCGAUUAGCAAAAAAGAGGUGUUGAUGUGGGGGAUAAGUUUACAGUCAAUUGAGUUUGCUUACGAUUGGGCUUGAAAAAAAGGGUUCGUUUGUUUAAUAUAGUCUGGCCUUGCUCCCUUUACAUAUAUACCCAUGAGUUUAUAUAUGUCCUCGAGUUACACAGAGUAUCAACAAGCCUCAUCGGGUAUCAACGGGCAGAGGCUGAGGACUGGAUAACGAAGGAAUGGAAAUGGUGGGCUAAUUAAAUGGAAUUUGUGAAAUGCAUGAUUUAAGAAGUUGGUUGCAUGGAAAUUAUAUAUGUAAGAAAUUAUGCUUGAUUACUGCUGAAUGGCUCUCUCGGCAACAUGGGCCAGCAGAUCUCAUCACCAUGCCGCAGCCAAGAUGGAGCUGGGAGGGAAUUACUGAAAGAAUGUCCCAAACACAAAAUUCUAGAUUCUCUACUGAAGGCAUAUAGGUACACACAGAUCUUAGUUGGAAGACCAUCCGCCAUCGUCUCCGCCGACUUUUUGCCGGAAGACCAUCAGUCGUCACCUAGACCUACUUCGCCGCAGCCCAUUCAUUCGUCACCUGCCAUAGAGCAUAGUGCUCCUUGCUAUACGGCGGACCUGGUGAAACUGUGCAAAUAAUUAACAAACCAAACCCCACCUGGAUAGUGCUACAGAUUUGCUUAGUGGGCAGGAAUAACUGGAGUACUAUUUCUUCUUUAAGGGCGUAUUUCGGAGGGGAGCAUACACAUUACCUUGAUUGAGUUGAGUUUCGUGUUCUGCAUUACUGUUAUAAGUUACCAGCAGCAAAGAAAGAGAGUCAUGUACUAAUAGCUGAUAAGGUAGUCUGCUCUUGCAGAUCAUCUGGUUAUUCAUUUUCCCAUACAAGUGUUACUAAACUCUACUAAGUUCUAUAAUGACACAAGAUUAACUUGUUACAGGACAAGUGUACCGAGUAAUAGCAGCAAAGAAAGAGAGUCAUGUACUAAUAUCUGAUAAGGUAGUCUGCUCUUGCAGAUCAUCUGGUUGAUCAUUUUCCCAUACAAGUGUUACUACACUCUACAUUUGCGUAGAGUAAUAACACAAGAUUAACUUGUUACAGGACAAGUGUACAGAGUAAUGAGUAUGGACAGAAAAUUUGUUUCUU